rnacentral:rRNA from 1 species
AUACAGAGGGUGCAAGCGUUAUUCGGAAUCACUGGGCGUAAAGGACGCGUAGGCGGGUUGGCAAGUCAGAUGUGAAAUCCUACAGCUUAACUGUAGAACUGCAUUUGAAACUGCUAACCUAGAGUAUGGGAGGGGGAGAUGGAAUUAGUGGUGUAGGGGUAAAAUCCGUAGAUAUCACUAGGAAUACCGAAAGCGAAGGCGAUCUCCUGGAACAUAACUGACGCUAAGGCGUGAAAGCGUGGGGAGCAAACAGGAUUAGAAACCAUAGUAGUCC